AUCGCUUCUCGGCUCUCUGAGCUAAGAUCAAAUGUGUAGUAUCUGUUCUUAUCAGCUUAAUAUCUGAUACAAUCCCCAUAGGGGAUUCAGAAUAUUAAUGCGAUUUUUGGGCAGCGGCGGGAGAUCGAAGCUUGCUUCGUCCCUGCCAAUUGGUCGACCUGACAUUGCAGUGAAGUCAGGUUUGGCCUUACUAAA